AUGUAGACUACACUUUGGUUUUUUGGACACGUGAGGGGGUAAGGGGUGCCUAGCUUCCAGGAGCUGCAGAGUGGAGACCUGAGUAGGCUGCAGAAAGGAUCACACACCUGUCAUUGCUGAGGAAGCGGAACUGAGCAAACCUCAGCCUGGACUAAGAGGAGGAAGGAGGAAUGUGUGUCCAAGAAGAGAAAAAAAUGAAGGAAUAUGGAAAAGGGAAAGACAUGAACUAGGGCUACCCCACCAUUCUGGCUGGAAGUAGGAGAAAGAAGAGGAAAAAAAUCAGCUCAACAGCAAUUUGAGGCAAAGACGGAAGAUUGUAGGCACAGUGAUGUCUCAGAAAUCAAUCCCGAAGAAAUCUGCCUACCCGAGGCUCCUGCUGUGCUAUGGUGGAGAGAAUAGAGACCUUACAAUCAAGCAGUUUGAUUCAUGUUCCUGUCCUGGCUUUGCCAUUUCUUUUUCCUGUGUGACUUAGGGUGAGAUACUUACCCUCUCUGGGCCUCACUUUUCUCUUCUGUGAAAGAGAUAAAAGUCUUGGCUUGUAAAAUGAUUGGGACAACUGUAUGCAAUGAAACAGGUAAAAGUAUUUUAAAAGUGUCAGUGCUUCUAAUCACCCUCUUUCUCUUCCUGUGCUCUGGGUGGGAAUAAACCCAUAGUACACAUGCAGGCAAAAUAAGCCAGAUUCUGGUUUCCAUUCCAGGAGAAUGCUAUUUGGGUGAAUUUUGGCUGCACUGUAAUGACAAAAAGAAUUCAGGCCAUUCUUAUCAUCCCCAACAGGCCACAUGCAGGAGACGCACUCAAGAUGUUUUAAGCCUGUCUGAGGGAUGGUCUUGCCUGGAGCUAAGGCUUGGCAAUCAAUUCUUGCUGCCAAGUUUGUGACAUGGUUGGGAUUGUGUGAGCUCUACAGAAUUCACAUGAAAGGCCUGGAGGCUGACAGAACAAGAUGGAAGCCCUUCAAGAGAAUUGCUAAUAAAGAAAGACUGAAAAUGGGCACAACCAUUUGGAGGUUUGUAUCCAGGCUGGUUACAGCCAGGACUGACUCUUCUCCGUUAUUGCUAAUUGGCAGCAACAGACAGUAUGUAAACUGGAAUAUGAGAAAGAUGGGGAAAAACAAAACCAAAGCCAAACUCUAAAACUCCAAUCAUCUUUAAUUAGUCAAGAGAAAUCAACAGCUUAAGAACGUACACCUACUGAGACAGCGUGAAGAGCUGGCAGCAAAGUGUUUCUGAGUCCAUCUGAGGCUCUCGUGCCCCUCACUUAAUCUUCACUGGCUUUUGUUUUUUCCACCUUUAUAAAUAAGGUGUUAAAAAUUGCCAACCUCCUGUUUGUACCAGAUAUAGCAAUGCUGAAUUUGGAAAUUUUAAAAAUGCUGAAAUGUCCAUAAUAGCUGUGGUGCUAGAAGGUCAUUUUCCCUGUCCCUGUCUCUUUCCCUGAAGGUAGGUAGAGACUAUCCAAUAUUGUGCAAAUACUAAGCCACAGUCCGAUGUCAGUUAACCAGAAUCUACCUAACAGGAUGUCUAAUUAAGGCAUAUUUUUUUUUCCUGUUUAACAAUGUGGAGUAGUGAAAACACCAUCAUCCUCAGUUCUCCUCAGACCUGGGUUUAAAAUCUUCCAUGACUUUCUAGUUGUGUGACCUCAACAAAAUCAAUGUGCUUCCCUGAGACAGAGCUUCCUCAUUGGCAAAAUGGUUUUGUGAUGGUUACUCUGUAGUGGGUGGCAAGGAUUAAAGCAAACAAUACAUGCAAAGCAAAUGGUUGGAACUCAAUAUAUAUCAAUCCCAUUCCCUGCCCCUCCAAGACAGAACUCAACACAACACCGCCCACUCAUGCAAUACACAUUUAUUGUUACUGUUGAGUGUUUUUGUUGAACACCUUUAGGGAAAGGAGUGAAAGCAUCAGAGACCAAACCAAGAGCGAAGAUUUAAAUCAAAGGCAAUUUCUGCAAGUUC
ensembl:lincRNA